AGUAAUUCGCCCCGGGCCGGGAUGUGACAGAGAGAGAGAGCAAUGGGGAGGGGUAGGGUCUCAGCGCUGUUGCUACAUAUAGAUUUCACAAGUGCGAGAGGUGGGGAUGGUCAGAGAAAACCAUAAGGGUCGUCAGGAUUUCUGGGAGAAGGGUAGGUGUCAUGAAUAGAGGCAAUUGAGGGUGAUGUCUGCCGGAUCUUGCGCUUCAUGCCUGAUUUCCAAAAAUAAGUUGAUUUUUUAAUGUAAAAAUGUGAUUUUUCGUUAAAGUGAAUAACAGUGGUAGUUUUUCGUUAAAAUUCUCUUUUUUAAUUCAGUUCUUUACUGUUAGCUUAGAUUGUCAUCAUUUUUGCUUUUUUAUUGUGAAUUAUUUUCGAAUUUUUUAGUACGUUAGGUCAGGUUUUGGGGGAUUCAUCUCUCUAUUUAUUCCCUUAUUUGUUUCAUUUUCUCUCAUUUUGGGGAUUCAUCUCUCUGUUCUGUCUGUUUGUUCUUUGUUAUAAGGUCACUGGCUUCUUUUUUUUUUUUGGGUUUUUUUUUUUGUGGGUUUUCAGUUCGUUAAUUUGUGACUCUGUGUUUAGAUUUUUGUUUCGUAUAUGAUUAAAUCGGUAUUGUGUUUAGUUAUGUUUAUGUGAAAAUUGAGAACAACAAUGAUAUCGGUGCUAUUAGUGGAAUUCUUCUUCACAAAUCAAUCAAAAUCCACUUAUAUGUGGUCAUUUUUCGACUCAGCUCCUCCUUUGAAGAACAGCGAUGACAUCAGUGGAAAGCUUGAGGGAUUUGAGAAGAAGCAUUCGACACCUUCCAUUGCAGUCUUGAAGUGUAGGAACUGUGGAACUUGCAAUGGUUGGCAGGCAAUGCAGUGUACCAUGUGCAGAGGAUUAGGGAGGGUGCAAUACCAAGUGAAGAAUUACACCUUGAGAAGGUAGUUACAGAGAAGAAAUGGAGGGAAGUGGGAGGUGCUUUCAUGUCCUCCCCAACAACAACAAGCGCUUUGUUUGUGCUGAGGAAACACUACUUAACCCUUGUCUACCAUUACAAACAGGUUCACUUUUUUAGGCACAGGGUUCUUUAUCUACCCCGACACCCUCACCCUCACCCUCAGGUACUCAUUUACUUCUUACUGCUCUUAUUUUUUACGUUUUUUUUUUUUUUUUUUUUUUACUGUUGCAAUUGCCUUUUGAUUUUUGUAUCUUGACUGCGGAUAUCAUAUGUGACCUUUUUGCUCAUAAGUGCUUCCUUUUUCAGGAUCUUUUUGCACUGCCGGCUUUUGCUUUUAUGUUUUUGGAGGUUCUGAAAAAAGUUCAGAGCUAUUGAAAUGUUACUACUUACAAGUUCAUAUUUUUGCAGUAUUUUUUGUUGCAGUCCUCGCAACCUUCUCAUUCUUGAACAUUAUAUAUGAUCAUGCUCUACAAUGAGUAGCCCGUU